rnacentral:rRNA from 1 species
CAAAAAAACAAUCUCAGUUCAGACUGCAGGCUGCAACUCGCCUGCACGAAGUCGGAAUUGCUAGUAAUCGUAGGUCAGCAUACUACGGUGAAUACGUUCCCGGGCCUUGUACACACCGCCCGUCAAACCAUGAGAGUUGGCAACACCCGAAGUCGGUAGUCUAACCGCAAGGAGGACGCCGCCGAAGGUGGGGUUGAUGAUUAGGGUUAAGUCGUAACAAGGUAAC